rnacentral:rRNA from 1 species
GACGAACGCUGGCGGCGCGCUUAACACAUGCAAGUCGAACGGAAAGGCCUGCUUUCCCUUGUGGAUUGCGGGUACUCGAGUGGCGAACGGGUGAGUAACACGUGAGUGACCUGCCCCCAACUUGGGUAUAAGCCUGGGAAACUGGGUCUAAUUCCCGAUAGGACUGCAGGGUGGUGCCUGUGGUGGAAAACGAUUUUCUAGUGGUUGGGGAUGAGCUCGCGGCCUAUCAGCUUGUUGGUGGGGUAAUGGCCUACCAAGGCGGCGACGGGUAGCCGGCCUGAGAGGGUGGACGGGCACAUUGGGACUGAGAUACGGCCCAGACUCCUACGGGAGGCAGCAGUGGGGAAUAAUGCACAAUGGGCGGAAGCCUGAUGCAGCGACGCCGCGUGGGGGAUGACGGCCUUCGGGUUGUAAACUCCUUUCGACCGCGAGGAAGCCACCUGGUUGGAAGGGUGGUGACGGUAGUGGUAGAAGAAGCACCGGCUAACUACGUG